rnacentral:rRNA from 1 species
CGGAAAAUCGUGGUCUCUAACAUAGGCCAUGGAUGACGGUACCGGACUAAGAAGCACCGGCUAACUACGUGCCAGCAGCCGCGGUAAUACGUAGGGUGCGAGCGUUAAUCGGAAUUACUGGGCGUAAAGCGUGCGCAGGCGGUUUUGUAAGACAGAUGUGAAAUCCCCGGGCUUAACCUGGGAACUGCGUUUGUGACUGCAAGGCUAGAGUACGGCAGAGGGGGGUGGAAUUCCUGGUGUAGCAGUGAAAUGCGUAGAGAUCAGGAGGAACACCGAUGGCGAAGGCAGCCCCCUGGGCCUGUACUGACGCUCAUGCACGAAAGCGUGGGGAGCAAACAGGAUUAGAUACCCUGGUAGUCCACGCCCUAAACGAUGUCGACUAGUCGUUCGGAGCAGCAAUGCACUGAGUGACGCAGCUAACGCGUGAAGUCGACCGCCUGGGGAGUACGGCCGCAAGGUUAAAACUCAAAGGAAUUGACGGGGACCCGCACAAGCGGUGGAUGAUGUGGAUUAAUUCGAUGCAAC